UUGAGAUAUCUUCUUAUUUUCUAAGACCACAAAAGAGAAACCAAUGAUGAAUCAAUCCCAAAAUUUGAGCCAAGCAGGCCAAGCCGUGGGACAAGCUCAAGCUCAGGAUAAGGGAAGCAAUAUGAUGGACAAGGCAAGCAAUGCUGCUCAAUCUGCCAAAGAAUCUUGCCAAGAGGCUGGUCAGCAAAUGAAGGCAAAGGCACAAGAGGCUGCUGAUGCUGUUAAGAGCACAGUUGGUGCUCACAAGUGAAUCAAUGAAAUGGAGAGCUAUCUUAAGUAGCUAUUUGCAAUUUUUGAUUUUAUUUAUUUUUAUUAGUGCUUUUAUGCCUUGAUUUAUUAGCUUUUUCCUUUACAAUUUUUAUUCUUUUCAUAUGGUUUUAUUAUAUAACUGGUUGUAUACCAGCAACUUAAAUUAAGAGAGACUACAGUUUGUAUCCCAAUAUUUGUCAUAA